rnacentral:lncRNA from 1 species
CUGGUUCGUUACAUCUUCUUUUAUUCUAAACAAUGCGUCAAUGCAUCUUUUGUUUUUGGUGCUCAUCGUUCUCGUUGCGGAAAUGUUACUGUCUUGCAGGUCCAAUCCAAUUCACUGGACCUGGUUCGGAUGCUCUCAGCCACACUCUACUUCUCGAACUCGGGGCUCAAUAAUCUCUGAGUAGCCGGCCUUCCUUUCAUUCUCUCAAUUUUCUGCUUUCCUUGCAAUUUCACGUUUGGUCUUUUCUUUUUUCUUUUUUACCUUGAAACUCAUGUCUCCAUCUUUACCGUUAAGCUUUCAUCACUCUAAAUGUUUUUUUUUUUUCCUGUUGUGUUCUUGAACAUAUAAUAUAUAAUAUGGGAGCUUAAAUCUAAUUCAAAGUUCCAAAGUUGCAGUGCCAAUCGUUACUAGAUUAUGCUAGGUUCUAUAAGCUUUUAUUAGGAACAUCUUUAGCUUCUAGAUUCAGUAAAUGCUCACUUGGUAUUAUUAGAUCAUCCACAAUGGGAGCUCUUAAGGGAAUCCUUAGAGGGUGUGGAACCCACUUUCUUAGAGUUUGUGUAAAAAAAAAUUUUUAAAAUCUUUUGGUAAGGAUUGAUCCUUACACUGUUCACGGGUCCCAUUGACUACGUGACGGUCCGUGAAUGGUCUUUUUUUUUUUUUAAAGAAAUCCAAAAUAUCCAAAAUUAAUCCGAAAUACCUUUGUGCUAAGGACUCUAAUGAGUCUCACCAUUGCGCAUGGUCUUAGUUUCCAGUGUUAAUAGAAUACAUAUAUGCAACCUAAACCCACAUAUUGUUUCUUAAAAGCCCCCAUUGGAGCUUAUUGCCUGGUUCAUUGCUUGAGGACUUGAGUUAUGACGGAGGAGAUGACCAAAAAAAAUCAAAAGCAGGAAGGGUAUAGGGUUGUUUCUGUUAGCAGCUAAACUAGAGGGAGAAAACAUGAAUAUAGUUUAAAACAUGGGGGACUAAAGUUUUUAAGUUUAGCUGUAAAAAACAAAGGAGGAUUGAAACAAUAAAUAGACCGACUGAAAUCCAGACAAAUCUCUGUCAGAAGAGAAGCUAAACUCGGCAAAGCUUUCGCGCUCUUAUUUAUAGCAAUUUCGUUCUUCCGUUAGUUUAGUCUCUCUUUCUCUCUCUCCUUUUGUCGAUCCAGAGACAAGAGGAGAGAGAGAAAAAGACCAGGGAGGAACUUGUGUGUUUGAUCAUGGAACAUGAGAGACCUGACGUAGAGAGACCUGAGUCACGUGAUCUUCUUCUUCCGGUAUGCGGAGUUCCACCGCCAUAUUCCCCGCUUCUCAGCCCGACCCGUUUCUUCCCAUUGUCCGGAGAGCCGAGUCCGAGACAAACUAUAAAGCGUGGGAAGAAGAACAGAUUAAUCCGUACUUGGUACGAGCAAAGAACGGCUACAACAGCCAUCGGCGUAAUCGUCAUUUUGGGCGUCUUCUUCCUUGUGAAUUGGUUAAUGCUCUCUCGUCUUCACGAAGGACGAGUUUGGCUUCGAACAGGGUUCGCUAAGAAUACAUACCAGAUCCCUAAAUGGGUUUCUUCUACACAGGUAAAAAAUAUUAUAAGCUUUUCUUGUCUCCCAAGAAAACAGAAUAAUAGACUGAAAAUAUCAAUGAUGUACAACGUUGUUGUUGUGGACCAGAACGUUGAGGUUAGAAGGUUUGGAAAAUCAAGGAGAAAACAUAAUGGAACAUAUGAUAGAAUGUUGGGUUUGGCCGCUCAGGCUUUGCUAGAGGUAACGAACGUUUUCUCCAAAAUCUAAUCCGUAACAUUUAUUAUGUUAUGUUAUCACUGCUUGUUGUUAUUACGUUGUAAUGGUAUUUGAUUGGAGCAGAACAAACGUGAGCCAAAAGAGUUAUGGCAGGAGCCAAAGGCUCAAGCUUUGGCUUGGAAGCCAUGUGCUGAUCAACGCUCUUGGUCUCCUGACGGUAGACACUCUCCCUCUCUUUUUUUUUUUUGCUUUAAGACUGGAUCAAGCUUGUUUCCUAUGGAGUUUUCUUUAUUUAUUUAUUUUUCUGAUUUUUUAGAUGGAGAAAAUGGAUAUAUUAUGGUAACUGCAAACGGAGGGAUAAAUCAACAAAGAGUUGCUGUAAGUAUUCUUCUCCUUUGUCCUUCAAGUUGCCUUUUGAAAUUUCUCUAUCAUCAUAUCAUGAGACCGCGGGAUACUUUUCACAGGUAUGUAAUAUCGUUGUUGUAGCUCGUUUGCUCAAUGCGUCUCUAGUCAUUCCAAAAUUCAUGUUAAGCGACGUUUGGACAGAUGCAAGGUAACUAUUGUAAGCUCCUCGUCCUUUCUCCUCUGUCUCUACAACAUUUACGACUCAUAUUCAUGAAGAAACAUUACAUAUAUAAUAAUGUAUUUGACUUUGAUACAUCAUAAUCCCUCCCUUUCCCUUCCCCUUUUUGAUGAUGUGAAAUAGAUAAAAUCCUAAUAAAAUUCGCACAUUUCCGCUAUUUAAAUAUUAAAUAAAGUAAUAAAAAACCUUUCUUUUUUAUUCUUCACGUCCCGGAUUACGUCCUGGAUCAUUAGAUAGGAAUCCAAAUAUGAAGAGAGAAACAAAGAAUAUAACUACAGUAUAUACUGUCUUAGAAAAAUUCACGAUUUUGAUUCUUCCGACAAUUCAAAUCAAAAGAUCAAAAAAUCUUGACGUAGGAAGGAAUUCUCAAUUCAAACAUUGAAUUUUUUUGGUAGCCAUACUAAAUCUGUUAUAUAGAACAAAAAUACAACUACAUAACUUCGCAGACUAGCUUUUCAGCUUCCAUACAUACAUCUAGGAACAUGGGAUGUCGUUAUUAUUGUCUUCCGUCACUAGUUACCAACAAGAGAAGUCUUCAUUCUAUCCAACAAGCUCACUUCCAUGCCGUCGUCCCCUUUGCCUCUCGUCACCAUCAUCACGCAUAUAUGCACCAGCACCACCUUGUCUCAUCUUGGCUCAGGCAACUACCCUAACAUUCAUAUCCGUGUCAAGCAACACACUGCUCGUCCUUUACUCCCAAUUCAAGAAUCAGAUAUCGAGGGUAAUAAUCAUAAUUUUAUCAGAAAAAACAGAGAAAUUAAUAUAUUUAUAGGAAAUUCAGAAACUAAAUAAGAAGUUACAUCCUCAUGAAUUAAAAUCUAAAACCUAGAGGGAUUAUUCUUGUCAAUCUUGGAGACGUCCUAAUCGAGCUUGUUUUCUUCUUCUUCUUCUCCUUCAACCUCUUCACCACUGAUUCGGAUCCAAUCGAUUUCUUAUUGAUCUCACUCUCUCCAGCGACUCUAUCAAAAUCACCAGAGAGGUUUCUGAUGAUCCUAGCCACUCCCGAUCCAAUCUCAUCCUCAUCGUUAAGAUCUACGUACCUCCUUCGUUUCACCGCAACCGGAGCCGCGGGAGGAGGAGAAUCACAACCAGAUCUCUUCUUCUUCUCGGAGUCUCCAGGGCUGGAAUCCUCGAGCUGCGCUCGGAGCUUCUCCACGUUUCCUUCGAUCCGUCCCUGGAGACGGAGGCGCGUGAAGUUGAGACCACCCGUGGACCAGUGAGCGUCUCUAGCCCACGAGAGAAGCGGAUCGGCACGGUGAGAGUUAAACUGAGGAUUAGCGAAGAAACGAGGACGGGGAAGCGCGUUUCCGUAGAACUCCACAGGCCUGAUGGCGAUGUUCUUACUCACCGGCGUCGUCAUCGUGAAGUUUCAAGGAAGAAGAUAUUAGAGAGAUUGAGAAUCAAGGACCUCGUAAUCUGUAUUUAUACAUGCAUACAUGAUUUACUAAUACUAUCGAGAGAAAAGGAAGAUACAAUAAUGGAAAUAUUCCUAAUCUAAUUUCAACAAGAUUUAUUCGGCGCAAGACUCUUGCCGCGCUGCUUCAAAUAAAGUAUUUGGCGCCUCCUCAAUCUUUGCUUCCUCGCAAUUUUAAUUCGAUUCUGUUAGCGACUGACAUGUGUCGUACUAAUGAAUAAAUAAAUAAAUAAAUGUACUAAAAGUGAAAGACAAAUCUCCAAAAUAGCACUUUUCUAAGUUUAUAUCACAAAAAUAGCACUCAAAAACUAAAACGACCAAAAUAGCAUCUUUCUAAGUUUAUCCUUUGAAAAUUUUAAUUUUUUAUUUUUCAAAAUUUAAAAUCUUAUCCCCAAAACCUCAUUUCUCAACUCUAAACCCUAAACCCUAAACUUUAAACCCUAAACCCUAAACCCUAAACCCUAAACUCUAAAACCUAAACCCUAAACUCUAAACCCUAAACCCUAAACCCUAAACCCUAAACCCUAAAAUCUAAAAUCUAAACCCUAAAAUCUAAACCCUAAACCCUAAAUCCUAAACCCCACACUUUAACUCUAAACUCUAAGUUUGUGAUUUUUGAUAAAACAUUAAGUGCUAUUUUUGUGACUUUUGACCUUGAGUGCUAGUUUGGGAACAUAAACUUGAUUUAAUGCUAUUUUUGUCUUUUUCUCAAAAGUGAAUGUAUUAAUCUAUUAAUUUAUAAUCUUAUUUUUUAUCUACUAUUAACAAAUAAUAGUAGAACUACAUAAAAAUUAGUUGAUAUGAUAUAUUUGAUUAUUUACAUUAAUAAUAAACCAACAAUAAAUUUUAUUUUUUAUAAUUAAAAAAAUCUGUUGAGAAAAAAUCUAACAAAAUCUUACUUAAGAAUUUAAAUAUUUUAUGUUAUUUAUUAAUUAAUUUCGUAAUUAAUAAUAUAAUAUUAUUAUAAACUAAAAUUUUAUUAUAAAACAAAAAAAUUAAAAUUAUCUACUAUUUUUUAUUAUAAAUUCUAUAAUUAUAUUAUGUAUUAUUUAAAAAUAGAAUUAAAAUAUGGCAAAAUUAUAUUAAAUAGGUAAAUUAACAAAUUUUAGUUUUUUUAAAUUGUUUCAUUUAAAUAAAUUAUCACUCAUCAUUAAAAUAAGUUAAAUUCGUCAACUAUAUAAUAUUUUUAUACAUUAAUAACUUUAUUAACAUAGGUUAAAUUUUUAUAUCUACAACUAUAUAUUAUCUUUCUUUUUGAAACUCUCAACAAUAUAUUGUUUAAAAUGUUUAUAUACAAUAUAUAAUAGUAUAUAAUAACAUUUAGUUCAUAUACUAUUUAAAAAAAUAUGUUAUUAGAAAAAUAUGAAAUUUUGGUAGUUCAUUUAAAAUAUUAAUGUCAUUUUAAUUAUAAUUUUUUUUUAAUUAUAACAAAAUAUGUUGAGAAAAUUUAGAAAAUAUUACCAAAAAUUCAAAUAUUUGUAUAAAAUAAUGUAUUAAUGUAGUAACAAUAAAAAUUCAUGUCAUCUUCCAAACUAAAAAUACUAGUGUAAUUUUUCAAAGUUUUCUUGACAAAAUAUAAAAUUUUGAAAAUAAAUAUUCAACCUCAAAAUGAUAUUCCAUUGACAUGGAUACAGGUAUGAAGGAAGAUGCGGUUUGCCUACAAAUUUUGAUGCAACCUACUGUUACGCACUUGGUUAUGGCGCUGGAGUUCUCCUCAACAGUGGAAAAACCGGACUGAUUUCUUCGGUUUGUACUUGAUCAUUUUCCAUUCAAAUAAGUUUUCUCAAUGUUAAUAAUGUAUCUGUUGAGUGUGAACAUAGCUUCCUUUAGUAAACUAGUUUGUGCGUGGAAUGAGAUGAGUUAUUUAUUGGCGCAGGUCGGGAACUUGGCUGCUCCAGUGGAAGAAUGGACUGUAGGUGGGACUGCUCUCACAGCCUUGAUGGAUGUCGAGAGGAGACACGGUAUGAAAAUAAUCAAAUCAGUAAAGUUUGCUAAGAAGUAAGAACCAUUCGAAUUGUGGAUAUUAAGAAACAUGGGUUGAUUAUUAACUUGCAGGUAAGUUCAAGCCUGUGAUCAAGAAAGCAAUGGUGGAACUUGAAGGUGAAUCUUUGAUCCUUUUUCUCACAGUCCUUGUGCGGCGGUUAAAUGGUCAUAUACUAAGUUUUUUUCAUUUUGAAUCUGCAGGUGCGCCGUUUAAGAAAUUCGCAUCGCUGCGUGAGGAGUGGGCUUUGAAGAACCGAUACAUCAGCCCUGGUUCGUUACAUCUUCUUUUAUUCUAAACAAUGCGUCAAUGCAUCUUUUGUUUUUGGUGCUCAUCGUUCUCGUUGCGGAAAUGUUACUGUCUUGCAGGUCCAAUCCAAUUCACUGGACCUGGUUCGGAUGCUCUCAGCCACACUCUACUUCUCGAACUCGGGGCUCAAUAAUCUCUGAGUAGCCGGCCUUCCUUUCAUUCUCUCAAUUUUCUGCUUUCCUUGCAAUUUCACGUUUGGUCUUUUCUUUUUUCUUUUUUACCUUGAAACUCAUGUCUCCAUCUUUACCGUUAAGCUUUCAUCACUCUAAAUGUUUUUUUUUUUUCCUGUUGUGUUCUUGAACAUAUAAUAUAUAAUAUGGGAGCUUAAAUCUAAUUCAAAGUUCCAAAGUUGCAGUGCCAAUCGUUACUAGAUUAUGCUAGGUUCUAUAAGCUUUUAUUAGGAACAUCUUUAGCUUCUAGAUUCAGUAAAUGCUCACUUGGUAUUAUUAGAUCAUCCACAAUGGGAGCUCUUAAGGGAAUCCUUAGAGGGUG